UAACAAGAUCCGUAAGUUUAUCAAUUUACUAGGAAGUUUAUAAACUUUCGUAAGAUUCUAAACGGGAGAUAAAUUGUAAUAUUUUACGUCCACAUUUUCGUAAAUUGAUAAACUUACUGAACUCACUCGUAAAAUAAUACGUAAGCAGUAACAAAACGCUACGCGCGAUCUGAUUGGUUGGCGGUCACGUGUCACUUCUCCUUCCUCGCGGCCGCCAUUACUGGCCACGGAACAUAAACAAACCGCGUUUUUAUUAGUUUUGAAUGUUGAACUGUGUUGCAACUGUGAAAAAUAGCUUUAUUUUGUUAAGAUUAUCUAGCAGUACCCAUAAUGAGUGAUUUACAAGCUGCGGACACCCAAAAUGAAGGAGAUAGUGUGGUAAAUGCUAGAACAUUUGUUGACGAAGUAAAAUUUAACACAGAGCUAAGAAAGUUUUAUAGUGGGCAUAACCAAAAUAGUAAGAAAUCGGAAUGGACAGACGAAAAAAUUAAAAAUGUUAUUAAAAUGAUAGAAAAUUAUAAUAAAGCUAAAGUUUUGGGACGUCGGCCCGCAGACAAAGAAUACUAUCACGCCAAAAAGUAUGACGUAAUGACUUUUAGUGACGAAAAAGUUUUGAUAUUAAAAAGGAAAUCUCAGCAGGAUCCAGUGAUACAAGUAGUUCCAAGCAGUAAGUACUACCAAACAAUCCUUGAUGCGCAUGUUGCUACAGGUCACGGAAGGCGUGACAAAAUUAUUUAUGACUUGAAAGACAAGUACAUGGUUCCAGUGUUUGCCAUAAAUAUUUUUCUUCAAUUGUGCAAAACUUGCCUUUCCAAGAAAAGUUUUCCUAAAACUGGGAUAGUCGUGGAACCACUAAUUACAGAUGACUUUAAUAGAAGAGGACAGAUAGAUCUGGUGGCUUUUCAAUCAUCUCCAGAUGGAGAGUACAAAUGGAUGUUACAGUACCAAGAUCAUUUGACCAAAUUUUGUUUUUUGCGGCCACUCAAAAGCAAAGAAGCGAAAGAAGUAGCAAUUGAAAUUUUAAAGAUAUUUUUAGAAGUUGGUUGUCCCAAUAUUCUCCAAAGCGACAAUGGACGUGAGUUUACGGCAUCAAUAUUGAAAGAAAUUGUGAGCUUAUGGCCAGCAUGCAAAAUUGUUAAUGGAAGACCUAGAUAUCCCCAAAGCCAGGGAAGUGUAGAACGUUCAAACCAAGAUGUGAAAAAUAUGAUUCGUGCUUGGAUGGUGGAUAAUAAUUCCAAUCAAUGGUCGAUAGGUUGUUACUUUGCUCAGUUCUAAAAAAAUUCAUCAUACCAUUCUACGAUUGGCAGGACACCGUUUAAAGCCCUGUUUGGAGAUGAUCCAAGAUGCGGUCUAACUUCUACAUAUUUGUCCAAGAAUAUAAUUUCUCAACUUGAAAUGGAAGAGGAUUUAGAGACGUUUUUAAAAUCUGUAAAUGACAACGAACAUAAGACCGUCAAUGACGAUGGAAAUAUAACUUCAGAUAAAGAAAACCUUUGUAAAACUCUUGAUAUUGCCACAGAGUCAAUUAUUACGACAGAUAAUAUUUCUGAAACUGAGCAAGUCAAAGUACUUGUAGUUGACAGUGAAAGCACGGGCGCAAACACAAACAAUAUUUGGCAAGACCUUGACAACAUUGCAAAUGGAAUUGAGACUCCUCAAAAAAUUGUCGAAUCAGAUACGUUGCUUUGUCACAUAUGCAACAAUGAAUCAUCUGGGGCUCAUACAUGUAUUAAAUGUCAACGUAUCACACACGUUAUCUGUGGAGAACCAACAGAAAAUAAUGACGAAGGUUAUGGUUCGCAGUUAAUAUGUAAAUUGUGCACAAACGAAAUAAACAUUUUGAGGGAAAGGAAGGACUCGCACUUAAAUUUAAAAAGAGCAGCAGAAAAAAUGACAGCACAUUCUUCUAAAAAGUUCAAAAAUAUUGAUGUUGGUGCUACUGUAUUAGUCGAAGUACCGAGAGUAGAUAGGGGGCCUCUAGAUAGCAAGAAUGUAGUCGGCAAAGUAAUAGAGAAAAAGAAUGAACUUUACAAAGUUGGCACUUCGUUCGGCAUCAUUAAUGACUGGUUGCCUCGAAACGCUGUCCUUUCAACCCCAGGAGAAAUUUUGAAUGAAACUCUUCCUGAGACUAAGUUACCAUUAAGAAAAAUAUCUGCGAUGUCUCCUACAUUUGGCGGGAAAGGAAUAAAGCAAUGCAACUGCAAAAAAUAUUCUAAGGGACAGUGUUUAUCAAAUAAGUGCAAUUGUAAAAAAGCUAAUAUAUUGUGCAAUUCAAGGUGCCAUAAAUCUUUGACUUGUGCCAAUAAGUAGAUAAUUGGUAAUAAGUACUUAUAUAAUUUUUACUUAUUUUUACUAUAUGUUUUUUAAGUCAUGGUAAGACUAAAUUGAAUAAUUACGAACGAGUUACUAAUUAUUGAAUUAUUUAACUACGACUGAGUAGGUGUGUAUGACACGGACGAAAAAACCAUAAUUCUUUUAGUUUUUUUUUUGCAAAAACUGGUAUGUUUUAUAUUUUUUUGAUAAUAAAUGCCUUUCGUAUUACACAAUUUCUGUCGUUUUAUUUAAAUAGAGCAAAGUAGUGUUCAUUAGUGUGUUUUAUAAGAGUAUUCCUGUAUUUUAGCAAGUAACUUAUUUAACAGUUACUUGCUAAAAUACAGGAAUACUCUUAUUGAAACUGAUAAUAGAAAACUCAACUCACUACAUCCGUGCCAGAGAGGAACCAGGCAUUGUUGCUUCCAAUUUAUAGUUUGUCAAGUCUGAUUAUUCCAAAGUCUAUGGACACAAGCAUUGCCACUAUGAACAUUGACCAAUCAGAGAGCAGUGUGUUAUUUUACGUAUUUCAAAACUCGUAUAUUUAAAAGAGUUUCUGUGAUUGGUCGAACCAUAUAAAAUCUUACGAAUAGAUAUUCGUAAGUUUAUAAAUUUACCGUAUGACGUCGGAAAUUGAUAAAUUUACGAAAAUGUGGACGUAAAAUAUUACAAUUUAUCUCCCGUUUAGAAUCUUACGAAAGUUUAUAAACUUCCUAGUAAAUUGAUAAACUUACGGAUCUUGUUAUUUUCCG